AGAGUUUGAUCCUGGCUCAGGACGAACGCUGGCGGCGUGCUUAACACAUGCAAGUCGAGCGAUGAAGUUUCUUCGGAAAUGGAUUAGCGGCGAACGGGUGAGGAACACGUGAAGAAUCUGCCCUCCACUUUGGGAUAACACCGGGAAACCGGUGCUAAUACCGAAUAUUGAAACAUAAGUGGCAUCACUGAGUUUUGAAAGAAUUUCGGUGGAGGAUGACUUCGCGGCCUAUCAGCUAGUUGGUGAGGUAAUGGCUCACCAAGGCAACGACGGGUAGCCGGCCUGAGAGGGCGGCCGGCCACACUGGGACUGAGACACGGCCCAGACUCCUACGGGAGGCAGCAGUGGGGAAUAUUGGGCAAUGGAGGAAACUCUGACCCAGCGACGCCGCGUGCGGGAUGAAGGCCUUCGGGUUGUAAACCGCUUUCAGUAGGGAAGAAGCGAAAGUGACGGUACCUACAAAAGAAGCACCGGCUAACUAUGUGCCAGCAGCCGCGGUAAUACAUAGGGUGCAAGCGUUGUCCGGAAUUAUUGGGCGUAAAGAGCUCGUAGGUCGUUUGUUACGUCGGAUGUGAAAACCUGAGGCUCAACCUCAGGCCUGCAUUCGAUACGGGCAAACUAGAGUUUGGUAGGGGAGACUGGAAUUCCUGGUGUAGCGGUGGAAUGCGCAGAUAUCAGGANGAACACCAAUGGCGAAGGCAGGUCUCUGGGCCAAUACUGACACUGAGGAGCGAAAGUCUGGGGAGCGAACAGGANUAGA
rnacentral:rRNA from 1 species